rnacentral:rRNA from 1 species
ACGCUCGACACCUACGGUAGGCAGCAGUGGGGAAUAUUGCACAAUGGGGGAAACCCUGAUGCAGCGACGCCGCGUGAAGGAUGAAGUAUUUCGGUAUGUAAACUUCUAUCAGCAGGGAAGAAAGUGACGGUACCUGACUAAGAAGCCCCGGCUAACUACGUGCCAACAGCCGCGGUAAUCUGAGCGGGCUGGCAAGGC